rnacentral:rRNA from 2 species
GGACCAAGGAGUCUAGCAUGUGCGCGAGUCAUUGGGACUCUAACGAAACCUAAAGGCGUAAUGAAAGUGAAGGCCCGCCCCGCGCGGGCCGAGGGAGGAUGGGCUUUCCCGAGGGAUCGCUCCGCACUCCCAGGGCGUCUCGUUCUCAUCGCGAGAAGAGGCGCACCAAGAGCGUACACGCUGGGACCCGAAAGAUGGUGAACUAUGCCUGGUCAGGACGAAGUCAGGGGAAACCCUGAUGGAGGUCCGUAGCGAUUCUGACGUGCAAAUCGAUCGUCGGAACUGGGUAUAGGGGCGAAAGACUAAUCGAACCAUCUAGUAGCUGGUUCCCUCCGAAGUUUCCCUCAGGAUAGCUGGCGCUCGCUUCUCGCGAGUCUCAUUCGGUAAAGCGAAUGAUUAGAGGCAUUGGGGUCGAAACGGCCUCAACCUAUUCUCAAACUUUAAAUGGGUGAGAUCUCCGGCUUGCUUGAACUGUGAAGCCGCGAGAUAUCGGAUCAGAGUGCCAAGUGGGCCACUUUUGGUAAGCAGAACUGGCGCUGUGGGAUGAACCAAACGCCGAGUUAAAGCGCCUAAAUCGACGCUUAUGGGAUACCAUGAAAGGCGUUGGUAACUUAAGACAGCAGGACGGUGGCCAUGGAAGUCGGA